rnacentral:rRNA from 1 species
AUUGAACGCUGGCGGCAGGCUUAACACAUGCAAGUCGAGCGGAGAUGAGGUGCUUGCACCUUAUCUUAGCGGCGGGCGGGUGAGUAAUGCUUAGGAAUCUGCCAUUUAGUGGGGGACAACAUUCCGAAAGGAAUGCUAAUACCGCAUACGUCCUACGGGAGAAAGCAGGGGAUCUUCGGACCUUGCGCUAAAUGAUGAGCCUAAGUCGGAUUAGCUAGUUGGUGGGGUAAAGGCCUACCAAGGCGACGAUCUGUAGCGGGUCUGAGAGGAUGAUCCGCCACACUGGGACUGAGACACGGCCCAGACUCCUACGGGAGGCAGCAGUGGGGAAUAUUGGACAAUGGGCGGAAGCCUGAUCCAGCCAUGCCGCGUGUGUGAAGAAGGCCUUUUGGUUGUAAAGCACUUUAAGCGAGGAGGAGGCUACCUGGAUUAAUACUCUGGGAUAGUGGACGUUACUCGCAGAAUAAGCACCGGCUAACUCUGUGCCAGCCGCCGCCGUAAAAC